CGUGUAGGCGGCUUUUUAAGUCGAUUGUGAAAUCCCUUGGCUUAACCAAGGAACUGCAACCGAUACUGAGAGGCUUGAGUGCGGAAGAGGAAAGCGGAAUUCCCGGUGUAAGAGUGAAAUCUGUAGAGAUCGGGAGGAACACCAGUGGCGAAGGCGGCUUUCUGGUCCGCAACUGACGCUGAAAUGCGAAAGCUAGGGGAGCAAACAGGAUUAGAUACCCUGGUAGUCC
rnacentral:rRNA from 1 species